rnacentral:rRNA from 1 species
UACGAAGGAUGCAAGCGUUAUCCGGAUUUAUUGGGUUUACAGGGUGCGUAGGCGGACUUAUAAGUCAGUGGUGAAAUCUCGUUGCUUAACAACGAACGUGCCAUUGAUACUGUAGGUCUUGAGUACAGAUGCCGUUGGCGGAAUGUGUCAUGUAGCGGUGAAAUGCAUAGAUAUGACACAGAACACCGAUUGCGAAGGCAGCUGACGAAACUGUAACUGACGCUGAGGCACGAAAGCGUGGGGAUCAAACAGA